UCGAGAAAACUUUGCAAUGUGCGAAAGCACGACAAGGUUAAUCCGAGUGGUUCCUGCUAAAGGAAUCUUUUGUUAGUUGUAACACCACUGAUGAAUAAGGGUGGGCAAGUUCUGGUGUCAGCCGCCGCGGUAAAACCAGCACCUCAAGUGGUCAGGAGGAUUAUUGGGCCUAAAGCAUCCGUAGCCGGCUCUGUAAGUUUUCGGUUAAAUCUACGUGCUCAACACAUGGGCUGCCGGGAAUACUGCAAAGCUAGGGAGUGGGAGAGGUAGACGGUACUCGGUAGGAAGGGGUAAAAUCCUUUGAUCUAUUGAUGACCACCUGUGGCGAAGGCGGUCUACCAGAACACGUCCGACGGUGAGGGAUGAAAGCUGGGGGAGC
rnacentral:rRNA from 2 species